CCUAAUUCACGUUUCCCUAUUCCACAUUCCAAAAUCAACAAUCAAACGCACACUCCAGCUCCUACAAUCGACUCCUUCUCCGCUUCCAUUUUUCUCCGAUCGGCCUCAACUACAACUCUACAAAUCGAACCUUCAAUCCGGUGUUGCCUCCACCUUAAUCUUCGUCCGGUUCUGUCGCAGCUGGAUCCGCUCUGCGUCCGCCUCCGAUGCUAAUCGCUACGCCAAUGGUUCACCUACGUUGCUGCUGUCUCGGUCCGUCGUCACUUCUUCCUCCGGCUUCUUCCUUGGUUAACUCUCACUCAACUUACACCAGGUGAUUCGAUUUUUUCAUCUCUUUCUUACUUUAUUGCUAAAUAACAUAGACCCAAUCUGAAACUAAGAUUUGGUUAAACCUUAAACAAAAAUAAGGAUUGAAGGUGUUUGGUGUUGGAACUUUAUUGUUGUUUCAGAUUUUUCAGAAUAUGCUUUGUUUUAGAUUUUAUUAUUAUUAUUAUUAUUAUUAUCAGAUUAUGCAUUUUUUCAGAUAUAUAUGGUGUUGGAAAAUACUGUUUUAGAUAUAAAUCAUCAUUGAAAGUAACCAUCGUGCCUUAUCAUUGCUCCCUUCCUUUUUGUACAUAUAUAGAAAUGAAUUUGGAAUAUUGAAUAUUUGUAAUAAAUGUAACUAUUUAAGCAACAUUAACAACAACUUACAGGUAAUUCAUAGACAACGACAAAUUUGUUCAAAUAAUUUACAGAAAGAUAUGCACAUGGUGGCCCAAAGUUGAAUUGAGAAUAAACCUGAGUCAAGAAAAUCCUAAAAAAAAUCAAGUAGUUACCUCAUAUGUCAUAUAGAAGUUUAUAAACCAUCCCGAAUGUUUGUUUAUCAUCAACUUUCUAAAUUAUGGAUGUUGUGGUGCCUAUAUUUAAGAAAAAUAUAUGCCAAAAUCAAGAAACAUUUGUGCUUAAAUAUAAAAAAACAGUACCAAAACAAAGUCUGGAAACCGGAAAAGCACCGCCACCAUCGCCCUGUUCGAUUUAGGGGCCAGGGAUCGAUUCCAAUGGUUAUUUUUUCUACCUAUGUGUGGACUGAAAGAAAACAAACAUUUAUUAAAUAACUAAAAAAGAAGAACACGAAGAUAGGAGAUAAAUUGCAACUAAUAAGUGCAUACCCACCAAUUAAUGUGUUCUUGAAUAAGAAACUUCUUUGAAGCAUUUCAACAAAUAGGUUAUGUAUAUAAAAAUUUCACCCCUUUGUCUCCCCCAAUGCAACAGCCUGAACCUCCAUUACCAGUUUCAAUUUCAGAUAGCCCUUAAUCAUUUUCCACACCACCAUGAUAAGAGUUGAAUAUAAAGAUUACACAAUAACAUAAAAAUUCUAUUGAAAAUAAGUUCAAAUAUUAACAUAAAUUACAUAACUUAAAGUUGAAUAUAUUAAAAGUAAUAAUACUUACACUAUAGAACAAAUAUAUUAUAAACUGAUAGAUUAUAUGCACAUAUUAAGCAUUAUACACAUAAACAAAAAGAUGAGAUAUGAAUUUGGUUUACACCUUAUUUCCAUUGAAAAUUUUCAAAUUCCAAACUUCAACACAUAGUUAAAGAAAAAAACGUCUACAGCUUUUGUGAAAUACUCUUAGUAAACACAUUUAGAUCUUGUAUACCAAAUUUACAAUGAAGUUCUUUAUUAAUCAUGAUAACAAAAAUAUAGGUAGCCUGGACCUAACAACUUCCCAUUUUGGAAAUUUUCAUGUUAUUGAAAUUACACUCUAAGUUUCUGUUACAACUAAUUUACAAUAAAUAUAAUUGUUUGUUGUUUCAGAUUGAUGAAAUGUUUAAAGGAAAAUCAUCAAUUAUAAAUUACUUAGGUAUCCAAACAUCAUUAGAGUCGAGGAGGCAACAGACUUCUUUUAUGAUACAGCAACCAUCAGAGUAAGAAGCUUGCAAGGAAAUGAUUUGAAGACUAACAUGAUUAUAUCACAUAUCCAACCUUUUUGAGAUGGGAAUGUUGUAAAGCACAAAACUAGAACUUAUCAUUGGUAAAACGUUGUGUGAAUGUAAAAAAGAAUUGUCCUUACAUUUUUCAUUGCAGCUCUUAAUGACCUACUUACAUGCAACACGAAAGAAGGAUAAAAACCGAGAAACUUCACUCAAAUUGAACACAAGUUAAAAAAACUUAGAGAAGAAGAUUGUGAAUUUAUCCCAACACAACAUCUAUAAUGUUGUUCCCGCUCCUUAUUUUCUUAAUACCAUCCAUAAAGUAAUAAAGUGGCGGGGCGGGGUUUAUCAGGAUCAAAAGCCUUUGCAAAACAAAAUUUAGAAUUAAAGUGAAUGAAUUGAGGCACAUAAGGGAGAUGGUUUUCUCUAGUAGAUUAUGGAGUAGAAGAGAAAAGAGGAAAAAUACUCAUGGAAGCUUUUGAAGAGAUUGCGUUCGUGGUCUCGAUAGAGGAAAAGAGGGUCUAAGUUCACCUCCAAACAGGAAAUCGACGAGUAUUCCUUCAGCCGAUUUAGGGCUGGAAACGAUGUCGGAGGUGGGUAGCUAAAGGGGGAGGAGACUGAGUGUGGAUCGACGGUGAUGUGAAGAAAUGGGGAAGUGAGGUGGUUUUAGGGAAUUUUAAUCAGAAGAUAGAAAGAAAAGCGGUGGACAACAAUCCAAUCCCUAUUGGCUUAGAUCAACUCCAACCACAAAACACUAAAAAAUACUAAAAUUGUGACUUUGUAACACUAAAAUGCAGUUUUCACUUCAACCAUACACAAAAAUUUUACAUUAAAAGUAAUAUAUAAAAUAAAAUAAUAAUUAUAAUGGUGUUAAAAAUAGUAAAUAUAAUAAAAUAAUGGAGUUAUAUUGAAAAAGUACAUUUGGUGUUGGGAGAUAGACACACCAAAUAUGGAGGCCACCAAGAGGUUUCACAAAAAUGGUGAUGAUUUUGAAGGUCCAUUAGAAUGGUUUUUAAAAGAUUUGCACCAUUUUAGUGGUCCAUUGGAGUUGCUCUUAGACAGUAGGUUAUGGGGACAUCGGCAACCAUUAAGUGCCAUUGGUAGCUGGAGUCAAUAGAAAUGAGGUUUGCCUCAUAGUUUUUAAAAAGGAAUAAAAAAUAGACCAAUGAACAACAAGAAAGAGGUGUGUAUGAGGCGGUUAGGUUCGGUUAUUGGUCAAAACCGAACCAUAACCAUUACAAUUGGUUAGUGUAUUUUGGUAACCAUUAGGUAGCGGUUAAUAUUGGUUUUGGUUAACGGUUUUAAUCGGUUGAUGGUUAAUAUCGAUUAACCAAAAUGGUCAAUGAUGACAUAAAAAUAAAAAUAAUUUUCUAUUAAAAUUAAAAAACAUAAAGUUCUAUCAUUAUAAAAAAUAAAUGAUUGUGUAUAUAUAAUUGUAUUGAUAUCUAACUCAACUAAUUACCCUUUAAAAUUUCAAGUCCUAAUAUAAUUACAUACCAUAUAUUUAAUAUUAUAUUAUAUUAAAAAUAUUUAUUAAUAUUAUUGGUUCGGUUCGGUUUAUAAUGGUUCAGUUUUAAAUAAAAACCAUAAUUGAACCAUAUGUAUUAAGUUAAUCAAAAUUGGAAACCGAACCAUAUCUUUUAGUAAUGGUUUAGUUAAAAUGGUUCGGUUAUAUGAAUUAAUUUGGUUAUAAUUCAGUUUUUCGGUUAAUAUGUUCACCCCUAGCAAGAAGUUUUCAUAAGAUAACACACAAUUUGUAUAUAUAAAGAACUAGUUUAUAACCCGUGGGAACCACGGUUACAAAAUUAAUUUAACUUUUAUAGUAAAAGUUCAAAGUUAUUAAUCAAUUAUUUUAAAUAAAUUAUUAAUUAUGUGAAAUUAUAAAAUUAUAAUAAUUGAUUUAAAUAAAUAUGUGAAAUUAUAUCACUUUAUAGUUUGUAUUAAUUUUAUUUUAAUUUUUAUUUUAAUUCUAUUAAUUUAAUGUAGAUAGAAUGGAAAAUUUAAAAUUUGAAAUUUAAAAUGAAUAAUCAAUAGGUUGACAAGUGACAAAUAUUAAUUAUGAGACAUAAUAUAGUGACACAUGACAAAAGAAGAAUAAAAUAUGCAUUAAUUAAGAGUUCUAGUAAAAUGACACAUAUCAAAAGGAGAAUAAAACUAUUCUUUUAUUACAAUAGGAAGAUUUUAGAAUUGUAAAAUUUAUAAUGAAUUAAUUUUUAAAUUUUAGUAACCGUAUAUAUUAAUUUUAAAACUAUUAUAACAGUAAAGAUUAUAAUAUUGAUAAAUAUAUAGUAUAUAAAUAAAUAUUAAAUGUUCACAAAAUUUAUUUUUCUUUCUUUAAAAAAUGGCGAUAAACUCCCCAGACAGUUAAAUUUUGGUGUUUCCCAAUUCCCACUUUUCCUCCACCCCCAAGUUGACUCCGCAAAAUCCCUAGGUCUCCGUUUCCAAAAUCCACAGAUCAUGCACAAUCGAAGUCGAAUGUGGACCAUCAUCCCGCCCCUUUGGCCUCCGUUUCUCUUACUAGGCCCGCCGUCGAGCUUGUAGUCCAUAAUCAUUGUCUCUCUACUCAGUCUCAGUCAAGCUUCUAGUUCAUCCCCUUUUUCCUCCGUUUAUCUGCUUUCUGUGACUCUCUCUCAGCCUUCUCUUUUCUACUCCACUCCGGCGGCGAACUACUGGUAACCCACUACGAUUCAGACACCCUUCUUCGUAUUUUCUAUCCAGAGGUAAAUGGCUCGAAACAAGGUAAAGUUCAUCUGAUUUUCUGUUUCUAAAGUAUUUACACUCGCCAAUAUAUCACUUCAGUUCGUAUAACUCUUUGUUGCUAAGCUUUUUAACAUAAAUGUUUGAUGAUGUUAAUUGCAUAUAUGUCUAAUCUCCACUUAAUAUAGUUCAUCUUUUUUUUUUCAAUGGAGUUACUGUUGCUGGUUUGUUAGGGUAAGAAAUAUGAGGAUUAGUUUGUGGAUUUUGUUUACUGAUUUGUAUUUGUUAGCUUAUCGAUGUUCCUUAGAUGAAUGCUAACACCUAUUGUGGUUUAUAUUUAUAUGUGAAACUGAUGUUUAUUGUUUCUAUAAGUCAAAUUACAGAACUAAUAAUAGUUAUGAUGGUUACUCAAAGGAUUUAUCUUACCAAUUUCAAGAUAACAUGAAAGUAAUCCUUUUAUAUGUAUUUAUCAUUAGUCACAGAGCCUUCUUAUUUAUUUUUUGUUUAUUUUUUUUUUCAUACAUUUGUUAGCGCCAACUUAAUUAAUUUAGUUAUAUAUUAUAUUAAUGACACAUACUAUACAUACUAUCCAUACCGCCUUUACCUUCUAGUAAUACCCCUUCAUUAUAUUAACUUUUUCUUUAACUAUCCAUACCCCCUUUACCUUUAGUAAUACCCCUUAAUCAUUAUAACCUUUAGUAAUACCCUUAAUCAUUAUAUUAACUUUUUCUUUAAAUGAUUAAAAUGAUUAAGUAAUAAUUUAAUUCUUUUUGACUAUAAUCAAGUAAUUAUUUGAUAUGCAAAUAAUUGAUUAUCUAUUUAAUCCAUUUAAUAUAUUUUAAAUUUAUAAAAUGUAUUACAUAUAUUAUUUGUAUGUAAACUAUUCAAUCUAUUUAAUAAAACAUUUUUAUAUUUUAAAUUUAUAAAACAAAAAACGUUUGUUAUAUAUUAUUUAUACGCAACUAAUAAAAUUAUUUUAUAUAAAAGAAUUAUAUUUAACACAUUACAAUAAUAAAAUAAUAUUUCAACGCAACGGAUUAUAAAAAAGUUAAAAUAUAUUUGUACUUAAUCAAUAUGUAUCCAAGGUGCUACAGAACUACGAGGCCUAAGUUGAUUGUAUAAUUCAAAACGAGACCAAUACAUAGUUUCCCAUGUAGAUGCCGACAUGCUUCUAUGGGCAUUCUAAUACAUUGUGGUAGGAGGCAUUGGUAAUUUCCUUUCGAAAACCCAACAUAUAAUUGUUGCCAUUUACAUAUGCCAAUGUAAUGGCUUUGUGGGGUUGAAACUUCUCGGGACCUCUCCAAAGAGGGAAACAUGUCGUAGAAUGUUUGUGGCUUAAAUAGUGAACGAUCACACGAAACAUGUUGGAAAUCAGGUAACCAUUAAAAGGCAUAUGCAACCAAUAUCAAGAAGGUGCAGGUGUUUUAAACCAACACAAUGAAUCAUAUACCUUGUUGAACCCGUCAGUAAAAACUAUAUGGUAUGUAUAAUAUUGACUCUCUAACUCUUCAAGCAAUUGUUUUCGAUUAUAAAGCCACUGGUCUUCAUUGUACCCCAGACAAACGGCUACCACUUGAAACCCACAAUUUCCAUCACCUUCUACAUCAUGUAUGUCGUCAAUGUAAUCAUUAAAUAUAUCUGGAAUAUUUCUCAGUUGGAAUGGAUCAUGGCUCGGUGGUUUAUCAGUUAAGUCAGGUUCUUUAUUUAAAUCAAACCCAACAAACUCUGAUGUGGUUGAGAAGUUGUAUUUACUAGGAGGUUGAUUUUGAGGAUUAACUUUAUUUUUUUGAUGUUUCUUCACACUUGGUCGUCCACGAGUGUUUUUUUGAAUUGUAGGUUCUUCGAUGUUAGUUUUUUUGAAUUGUAGGUUCUUGAAGCUUUCUUUAAAAUUUUCAACUAUAUCAUCACACAAAAUAUUGUCGUCUACUACAAAUGUUGUAUCUGAAAUAUCAAGCUUCCCUCAAAAGAUAUCUAUUGAAUCCAAUGGUAUAUCUUCACCUGCAUUGAAAUAUAAAAUAAUUAUUUAUAUAACAUUUUAAAAACUAUCUGUAUGUGGUAGUCGAACGUACGAACCUGAAUUCAAGUAGACAAAAAGUAUGCAAACACGUGGUAACCCACAAUUGUUACGAAGUUUGCAACCACAAUUUGACGAGUCUAAAUUUAGAUCAUUCAACAUUUGAAGCUCUUUUAAUAUUAUAUCUAUAGCUUUGUUCGAAACAAAACCAAGCAGUAACCGGAAGCACUUCAAAUUGUGGUGAUUGUAGCGAUAACAUAUGCUGUUUUCAAAACUUUCGUUGAUCGAAGUUACCUGUGACUGCACAAUUUAAGUAAUCUGUUGCACAAAUAUAUCUAGAUUACAAUUUGAGAAGUCCAAAAUUUUCUUUAACUUGGAAUGGGAGCUCUCAACUCUAUUGGGUGUGCGGUUUCCAAAAUUUAAAUGUUGAUCAACCAAACGUACACAAACAUUCCUUUGUACUUAUUUAACCAUGUAUUCUCUAAGUAUCUCAAAACACUUACGAAGUAAAAUAAAUUAACAAAUAAGUACGUAAAUAGUAAUAUGAAGGUUUUGAUUUAAAACAUAGUCAAUAAACAAAGCUUACGUGGAUAAUCUGAGAACAUUGAUUGAAGUCGCUCAUAGUUUUCCAUGUAUGCCAUCCAUGUUGGAGACCCAACUAGUAUGGCGUGGCACUACAUGUUUUCCUGUUAAAUUUGCCACCAAACGAUUCUAAUCAACAAAUAACCGUCGUACAAAAAGAUGACCCUCCAUAUGCCGUGUAGGUGUAUGAUUAUGUUCAUCACAUUUUACCCUUAGCAUCCAUCAAUCAAAUAUUUUUGAAUACUUUCCUUGCAAUUCAAAUUUACAAUUAGUCUUUCUGCUUCCAGAUGUUCUAAUUGUGUUAAUAGCUUUAUACUCUCCACUAGGAUCACAUGCAAGUAUGACUUUAUACAUGAAUCCGUUCACAUAUGUUUUUGAUAAUUUCGUGAUGAUGACAUAUCAUAGAGAUCGUGUUGUGUUUUGUGUCAAUUCAAACAAUUCCUCACGAGACCUGAACAUCUGAAAUUGAAUUUGAUGUGUUUUAGAAUAUAUUUUUUAUUUCAAAACAUCAUAAUCUAGUAUAAUUAUAUAACCUGAUCGCAAGGAGGCAAAGUUGAUUCCAAACAACUUAAACAUAUCUAUAUACAAAAAUCACGAUAGAUAUGUUGAUAUGAUGUUUCACAAAUACAAAAAACAUAAGAUUUCAUAAAAAAUAACUCAGUAUUUUUUAAAUCAAAAAAAUAAUGUAUUAACAUAAAAAGAUAUUUGCAAUUAUUUAAAUAAAAAAAUGCAGCUCUAAUUAGAAAAUAUGUUCGAUUAUACUUUGUCAAUUGAAGCUUUCACAUGAAGCAAUUAUUUAAACUUCGAACAAAAUAUGUGCACUUAUUUAAACUUCGAACUAAUGGUUAAAAUGAAAUAUUUUUAAACUGAUGGGCUAUAAAUAUAAAAUUCUAAGAUAUAAAAAUCUUACUUUCUCAAAAUCCUAACAACAUAAAUCGGCCGCCAAGAAGAGAGUGACAUACCAGAUGCAAUUUCCGGCGGCAAGAGUCGAAUUCCGACGACUUCUCCGAUUAAAUGGUAGGCUGUUUCAGGCGGCUUCUAGUACUUUUUCAAGUCACUUGAUGAUGUUCAUAGCCACUGGUCCAGCACUUCAUCGGCGGUCUUUCUCGGGGUGUUCCAGUCGUGUUUCUCACGAUCUCUCUCUCUCUCUCUCUCUCUCUCUCUCUCUCUCUCUUUCUUUCUCGUUCUGUCUUUCCGGGGAUCUCUCGUUCAAUACAAUAAUGAAUCAUAAUCAUCAAAAAAAUUGUUCACCACAGGAACCAACGUCAAUCAACAAACUGUCGUCGGCAACAACUAACCGACGGUAACCAAACCACACCGGAGAUAGAAAGGGAGAAAGAGAAAUUGUAAGAAAGACCACUGGAACCACCAUUUACCAUCGUUAAACACCUUUUUACCAUUGUCAACCAUUGUUAACCACCAUUUAACACCCUAUGAAUACCUUAAACCAUCGUGACCAGAUUGAGAAAAGCGAGCUAUUCAUCAUUUACGUCGGAGACAUAACGAUAGAUUGUCGAAAAGACAGAACGAGAAAAAGAGAGAUCGUGAGAAACAUGACUGGAACACCGUGAGAAAGACCGUCGACGAAGCGACAGACCAGUGGACGUUCACGAAGUGUUGGACCAAUGGCUAUGAACGUCAUCAAGUGACGUAAAAAAGUAGGAGAAACUGCCUGAAACAGCCUACCAUUUAAUCGGAGAAGCCGUCAGAAUUCGACUCUUGUUGCCGGAAAUUGCAUAUGGUAUGUUACUCUCUUCUUGACGGUUGAUUUAUGUUGUUAGGGUUUUGAGAAAGUAAGAUUUUUAUAUCUUAGAAUUUUAUAUUUAUAGCCCAUCAAUUAAAAAUAUUUCAUUUUAACCCUUAGUUCGAAGUUUAAAUAAAUGCACAUAUUUUGUUCGAACAUGUUAUCUAAUUAGAGUUGCACUUUUUUAUUUUUUAUUUAAAUAAUUGCAAAUAUUUUUUUUAUGUUAAUACAUUGUAUUUUCAAUUUAAAAAAUAUUGAAUUAUUUUUUAUGAAAGCUUAUGGUUUUUGUAUUUGUGCAACAUUAUAUUAAUAUAUCUAUCGUGAUUUUUGUAUAUAGAUAUGUUAAAGUCGUUUGAAAUCAACUUGUCUGCUUGCGAUCACGUUAUGUAAUUAUAUUCGAUUGUGAUGUUUUGAAAUAAAAAAUAUAUUCUAAAACACAUAAAAUUCAAUUUCAUAUGUUCACGUCUUGGAAUGAAUUGUUUGAAUGGACACAAAACACAACACGAUCUCUAGGAUAUGUCAUUAUCACAAAAAGAUCAAAAGCAUAUGUGAAAGGAUUUGUGUAUAAAGUCAUACUUGCAUGUGAUCGUAGUGGAGAGUAUAAAGCUAUUAACACAAUUAGAGCAUCUGGAAGCAUAAAGAUUAAUUGUAAAUUUGAAUUGCAAUGAAAGUAUUUAAAAGUAUUUGAUCGAUGGAUGCUAAGGGUAAAAUGUGAUGAACAUAAUCAUGCACCUGCACAACAUAUGGAGGGCCAUCUGUUUGUACGACGGUUAUCUGUUGAUGAGAAUCGUUUGGUGGCAAAUUAAACACGAAAGCAUGUAGCGCCACUCCAUACUAGUUGAGUCUCUAACAUGAAUGACAUACACGAAAAACUAUGAACGACUUCAAUCAAUGUUCAUAGAUUAUCCACGUAAGCUUGUUUAUUGACUAUGUUUUAAAUCAAAACCUUCAUAUUACUAUAUAUGUACUUAUUUGUUAAUUUAUUUUACUUAGCAAGUGUUUUGAGAUACGUAGAGGAUAUAUGGUUAAAUAAGUACAAAGAAAUGUUUGUGUCGGUUUGGGUUGAUCAACAUCUAAAUUUUUGAAACCACACAUCUAAUAGAGUUGAGGGUGCACAUUCCAAGUUAAAGAAAUUUUUGGACUUCCCAAAUUGUAAUCUAGAUAUAUUUGUGCAACAGAUUACUUAAAUUGUGCAGUUACAUACAACUUUGAUCAACGAAAGUCUUGAAAACAACAUAUAUUAUCGCUACAAUCACCACAAUUUGAAGUGCUUUCGGUUACUGCGUUGUUUUGUUUCGAACAAAGCUUUAGAUAUAAUAUUAGGAGAGCUUCAAAGGUUGAAUGAUAUAAAUUCAGACUCCUCAGAUUGUGGUUGAAAACUUCGUAAUUGUUGUGGGUUACCAUGUGCUUGCAUACUUUUUGUCUACUCCAAUCCAGGUUCGUACGUUCAACUACCACAUACAGAUAGUUUUUAAAAUGUUAUAUAAAUAAUUAUUUUAUAUUUUAAUGCAGGUGAAGAUAUACCUUUGGAUUCAAUAGAUAUCUUUUGGAGGAAACUUGAUAUUUCAGAUACGACACCUGUAGUAG
rnacentral:lncRNA from 1 species